rnacentral:sRNA from 1 species
UCAGAACUUAAAUCAGAGACUUAAUGGUACAAUGUUAAAUUAAAGUUUCAUCCACACUGCUCAAAAAAAUACCAUCUCCUUGACAGCCAUUAUCAGCAUUCCCAAUUUUAUUAUAUAACAAAUCUACAGUACUUUAUUAGUCCCCUACCGGUUUUCAGCGGAGGGGACUAUAGCUUUCCUCUGCAAAAACUGUGCAUACAUUCCUGAGAAUCAACAACGAAAUCAACAAAUCACAACUGUGAAACCACAGUAAAUAAAAUCAAAGCAAUGCAGUUUACUAUCAUAGUGGUAUUAAAGUGUUUAGCUCAGAUAUUGCAUUUUUGCCCAGUUAAGUUAAUAUAAUGAAUAUUUAUAACCAUAACCAUUUAUAGGUAAAUGGCAAACUCUGACUAAAGGCAACAGGUCAUAUAAUGCAAGUGACCUAAUAUUAUAUUUCCCCAAAAUUUAAGUACCGGUAAUGGAAUCUUACUGAAAAUCUAAUAAUAUAGGUAUUAGCACAUUUACACUAUAUGCUACCUUUAAUAAGGCAUGGAACUAGCAAACAGGUAAACCAAAGAUCUUGAAUUUGGAAUUGCAAUCUCUAUUGAUGAUUUAAAUAGAAGAGCACAAGGAAAUCUUCCCACAAUACAAUAUGUACACAACUAACAUAAUUGAAAAUUUUAAAAAAUUAUUUAUUUGAAUUGCACUUUCCAAAUACUUUCAUAAAAAUGUCAAAUCUAUGUAGCAGUUGUAUGUUUUAUGCAUGUUAAUUAUUUGUUGUAUUCAUGACUACAGUAUAUACCAAUGUAUGAUGGUGUUAUCAAUAAAUAAAAUUGAAAU